AAAAUACAAUAUUUUUAUGAAAAGCAAAGCAAAAAACGUGCAGAGGGAGAAUAUCUAGACAAGGGCUGCUCAAAAGGUAGAUCACCAGAUGUUGUAGAACUACAACUACCACAAUUCUUUGCACGCCUUUAGAAUGGCAGAGCUUUGUGAAAGCUGUGGUUUUAAAAAAUCUGGGAUUCUACCUUUUAAGAAACACUGAUCUAGAUUUAUCUGGUUCACUAAUCUGGAAAUCCC